rnacentral:rRNA from 1 species
GUCCUUAGUUACCAGCACGUAUGUGGGCACUCUAAGGAGACUGCCGGUGCAAACCGGAGGAAGGUGGGGAGUGACGUCAAGUCAUCAUGGCCCUUACGGCCUGGGCUACACACGUGCUACAAUGGUCGGUACAAAGGGUUGCCAAGCCGCGAGGUGGAGCUAAUCCCAUAAAACCGAUCGUAGUCCGGAUCGCAGUCUGCAACUCGACUGCGUGAAGUCGGAAUCGCUAGUAAUCGUGAAUCAGAAUGUCACGGUGAAUACGUUCCCGGGCCUU